rnacentral:rRNA from 1 species
CACGUAGGGUGCGAGCGUUGUCCGGAAUUAUUGGGCGUAAAGAGCUCGUAGGCGGUGUGUCGCGUCGGCCGUGAAAACCUGCAGCUUAACUGUGGGCUUGCGGUCGAUACGGGCAUCACUGGAGUUCGGCAGGGGAGACUGGAAUUCCUGGUGUAGCGGUGAAAUGCGCAGAUAUCAGGAGGAACACCGGUGGCGAAGGCGGGUCUCUGGGCAGUAAACUGA